UUUUUAAUAGUUUUGAAAAACGCCGGUUUGUCAAGUCGGAGGCACCUUUAGGGGUUUAAAGGU
rnacentral:tRNA from 1 species